rnacentral:rRNA from 1 species
UACGUAGGGUGUAGGCGUUAAUCGGAAUUACUGGGCGUAAAGCGUGCGCAGGCGGUUUCUUAAGUCAGAUAUGAAAGCCCCGGGCUUAACCUGGGAACUGCGUUUGAAACUGGGAGACUCGAGUGUGGCAGAGGGGGGUGGAAUUCCACGUGUAGCAGUGAAAUGCGUAGAUAUGUGGAGGAACACCGAUGGCGAAGGCAGCCCCCUGGGUCAACACUGACGCUCAUGCACGAAGCGUGGGGAGCAAACAGG